UACGGAGGAUCCAAGCGUUAUCCGGAUUCACUGGGUUUAAAGGGUGCGUAGGUGGAAUGACAAGUCAGUGGUGAAAUCUUGCAGCUUAACUGUAAAACUGCCAUUGAUACUGUUAUUCUUGAGUACAUUUGAUGUGAGCGGAAUGUGUCGUGUAGCGGUGAAAUGCUUAGAUAUGACACAGAACACCAAUUGCGAAGGCAGCUCACAAAACUGUAACUGACACUGAGGCACGAAAGCGUGGGGAUCAAACAGG
rnacentral:rRNA from 1 species